rnacentral:rRNA from 1 species
CGUAGGGGGCGAGCGUUGUACGGAAUGAUUGGGCGUAAAGGGCGCGCAGGCGGCCUGUCAAGUCAGUAGUGGAAGUCCAUUUUUCAAGGAUGGAAGUGCUAUAGAAACUGAUGGGCUUGAGUGCAGGAGAGGUUAUCGGAAUUCCCGGUGUAGCGGUGAAAUGCGUAGAGAUCGGGAGGAACACCAGUGGCGAAGGCGGGUAACUGGACUGCAACUGACGCUGAGGCGCGAAAGUGUGGGGAGCAAACAGGAUUAGAUACCCU